GAUGAACGCUGGCGGCGUGCCUAAUACAUGCAAGUCGAACGAAACUUCUUUAUCACCGAGUGCUUGCGCUCACCGAUAAAGAGUUGAGUGGCGAACGGAUGCGUAACACGUGUGCAACCUGCCCUAAAGAGGCGGAUAACACUUGGAAACAGGUGCUAAUACCGCAUAACCAUAGUUACCGCAUGGUGACUAUGUAAAAGGUGGCUAUACUACCGCUUUUGGAUGGGCCCGCGGCGCAUUAGCUAGUUGGUAGGGUAAAGGCUUACCAAGGCAAUGAUGCGCAGCCGAAUGGAGAGGCUGAUAGGCGACAUGGGAACGGGAACAGGGCCCAAGCGACUACGAGAGGGAGCAGUAGGGAAUCGUCGGCAAUGGGCGGGAGCCUGAUGGAGCAGGGCCGCGUGGGAGAAGAAGGUGUUGGGAGCGGAAUACCGGGUUGUUGGAGAAGAAACGGCGUGAGAUGAACUGUUCACGGUGCGACGGUAUCUAAUCAGAAAGCCACGGCUAACUACGUG
rnacentral:rRNA from 1 species